GGACGGGUGAGUAACGCGUGGGAAUCUGCCCUCAGGAGGGGGAUAACGACUGGAAACGGUCGCUAAUACCCCAUAUGCCGAGAGGUGAAAUGAAUUUCGCCUGAGGAUGAGCCCGCGUCUGAUUAGCUAGUUGGUGGGGUAAGAGCUCACCAAGGCGACGAUCAGUAGCUGGUCUGAGAGGAUGAUCAGCCACACUGGGACUGAGACACGGCCCAGACUCCUACGGGAGGCAGCAGUGGGGAAUUUUCCGCAAUGGGCGAAAGCCUGACGGAGCAACGCCGCGUGAGGGAUGAAGGCCUCUGGGCUGUAAACCUCUUUUCUCAAGGAAGAAGAUCUGACGGUACUUGAGGAAUAAGCCACGGCUAAUUCCGUGCCAGCAGCCGCGGUAAUACGGGAGUGGCAAGCGUUAUCCGGAAUCAUUGGGCGUAAAGCGUCCGCAGGUGGCUUUGUAAGUCUGCCGUUAAAGCGUGGAGCUUAACUCCAUUUCAGCGGUGGAAACUACAAGGCUUGAGUGUGGUAGGGGCAGAGGGAAUUCCCGGUGUAGCGGUGAAAUGCGUAGAUAUCGGGAAGAACACCAGUGGCGAAGGCGCUCUGCUGGGCCAUAACUGACACUCAUGGACGAAAGCCAGGGGAGCGAAAGGGAUUAGAUACCCAUGUAGUCCUGGCCGUAAACGAUGAACACUAGGCGUCGGGGGAAUCGACCCCCUCGGUGUCGUAGCCAACGCGUUAAGUGUUCCGCCUGGGGAGUACGCACGCAAGUGUGAAACUCAAAGGAAUUGACGGGGGCCCGCACAAGCGGUGGAGUAUGUGGUUUAAUUCGAUGCAACGCGAAGAACCUUACCAGGGUUUGACAUCCUGCGAACCCCUGAGAAAUCGGGGGGUGCCUUCGGGAACACAGUGACAGGUGGUGCAUGGCUGUCGUCAGCUCGUGUCGUGAGAUGUUGGGUUAAGUCCCGCAACGAGCGCAACCCACGUCCUUAGUUGCCAGCAUUCAGUUGGGCACUCUAGAGAGACCGCCGGUGAUAAACCGGAGGAAGGUGUGGAUGACGUCAAGUCAUCAUGCCCCUUACAUCCUGGGCUACACACGUACUACAAUGCUACGGACAAAGGGCAGCGAACUCGCGAGAGCAAGCAAAUCCCAUAAACCGUGGCUCAGUUUAGAUCGUAGGCUGCAACUCGCCUACGUGAAGGAGGAAUCGCUAGUAAUCGCAGGUCAGCAUACUGCGGUGAAUACGUUCCCGGGCCUUGUACACACCGCCCGUCACACCAUGGAAGUUAGCCACGCCCGAAGUCGUUACUCCAACCCUUGUGGAGGAGGAUGCCGAAGGUGGGGCUGAUGACUGGGGUGAAGUCGUAACAAGGUA
rnacentral:rRNA from 1 species